UGCAUUAGGGUUUCGCCCAGCAUGUCUCAGCUGAAACUUACCUCUUUGUGGGGAAGCGUGGAGCGCUGCUGCAGUGACAGACCCCUGUGUUCUUUGGUAAAUUCUGACAGGUGAGGUAGGGGUAUGAGAGUGGGUGGCCAUGCGGGUCAAGAAAAAUAAUAAGUGCACUUGAGUAUAACAAUGGCUGGGUGAGGCGGGUAUAAAUGUCUAUUCUGCACAAGGUACAGACAAGUCUGGUGGGAUCCAUGCCUGGUUCAUUUUCGUGGACAGGCGGCUGUGCUUGUCUGUGAUAACCUUGUUCUGAUUGCACGUCCCAGUGACGCCGACAACGCAUUCGGAUGUCUGCCCUAUCAACUUUCGAUGCUAUUAUCCACGCCUACCAUGAUGACCACGGGUAAUGGGGAAUUAGGGUUCGAUUCCAGAGAAGGAGCCUGAAAAAUGGCUCUCACAUGCAAGGAAGGCAGACGACGCGCAAAUUACUCACUCCCGACGCAGGGAGGGAGUGACGACAAAUAACAAUACACUACUCUUUCGAGGCCCUGUAAUUGUAAUGAGUCCACUUUAAAUUCUUUAACUUAGAUCAAUUGGAGGGCAAGUCUGGUGCAGAGCGACUGACCCGCGCGUGCUGCAGUUGAAACUCCACU